rnacentral:misc_RNA from 1 species
GAUGAAGAACGUAGCGAAAUGCGAUAAGUAAUGUGAAUUGCAGAAUUCAGUGAAUCAUCGAAUCUUUGAACGCACAUUGCGCCCGCCAGUAUUCUGGCGGGCAUGCCUGUUCGAGCGUCAUUUCAACCAUCAAGCUCUGCUUGCGUUGGGGAUCCGCGGCUGCCCGCGGUCCCUCAAAACCAGUGGCGGGCUCGCUAGUCACACCGAGCGUAGUAACUUUACAUCGCUAUGGUCGUGCGGCGGGUGCUUGCCGUAAAACCCCCCAAUUUUUAAGGUUGACCUCGGAUCAGGUAGGAAUACCCGCUGAACUCAAGCAUAUCAAUAAGCGGAGGA